rnacentral:rRNA from 1 species
UACGUAGGUGGCAAGCGUUGUCCGGAUUUAUUGGGUUUAAAGGGUGCGUAGGCGGCCCUGUAAGUCAGUGGUGAAAUACUCCAGCUUAACUGGAGGGGUGCCAUUGAUACUGCAGGGCUUGAGUGGAGUCGAAGUAGGCGGAAUUGACGGUGUAGCGGUGAAAUGCUUAGAUAUCAUCAAGAACACCGAUAGUGAAGACAGCUUACUAGGCUUCUACUGACGCUGAGGCACGAAAGUGUGGGGAUCAAACAGG